rnacentral:rRNA from 1 species
UACAGAGGGGGCAAGCGUUGUCCGGACUUACUGGGCGUAAAGGGUGCGCAGGCGGUUUGAUGCGUCGUCGCUGAAAGCUCUCGGCUCAACUGAGAGAGGCGUGGCGAUACGAUCAGACUUGAGGCUCUGAGAGGGUGGCGGAACUCCUGGUGUAGUGGUGAAAUGCGUAGAGAUCAGGAAGAACACCUGUGGCGCAAGCGGCCACCUGGCAGAGUACUGACGCUGAGGCACGAAAGCGUGGGUAGCGAACCGG